rnacentral:rRNA from 1 species
GUGAACCUGCGGAAGGAUCAUUGUCGAAACCUGUCAAAAACAGAACGACCCGCGAACAAACGAUCACCACUCGCGGUGGGC